GUGGGGAAUUUUGGACAAUGGGCGCAAGCCUGAUUCAGCCAUUCCGCGUGCAGGAUGAAGGCCUUCGGGUUGUAAACUGCUUUUGUACGGAACGAAAAGCCUCUGGUUAAUACCCGGGGGUCAUGACGGUACCGUAAGAAUAAGCACCGGCUAACUACGUGCCAGCAGCCGCGGUAAUACGUAGGGUGCGAGCGUUAAUCGGAAUUACUGGGCGUAAAGCGUGCGCAGGCGGUGAUGUAAGACAGUUGUGAAAUCCCCGGGCUCAACCUGGGAACUGCAUCUGUGACUGCAUUGCUGGAGUGCGGCAGAGGGGGAUGGAAUUCCGCGUGUAGCAGUGAAAUGCGUAGAUAUGCGGAGGAACACCGAUGGCGAAGGCAAUCCCCUGGGCCUGCACUGACGCUCAUGCACGAAAGCGUGGGGAGCAAACAGGAUUAGAUACCCCAGUAGUCC
rnacentral:rRNA from 1 species